rnacentral:rRNA from 1 species
GACGAACGCUGGCGGCGUGCCUAAUACAUGCAAGUUGAGCGCUGAAGGUUGGUACUUGUACCAACUGGAUGAGCAGCGAACGGGUGAGUAACGCGUGGGGAAUCUGCCUUUGGGCGGGGGACAACAUUUGGAAACGAAUGCUAAUACCGCAUAAAAACUUUAAACACAAGUUUUAAGUUUGAAAGAUGCAAUUGCAUCACUCAAAGAUGAUCCCGCGUUGUAUUAGCUAGUUGGUGAGGUAAAGGCUCACCAAGGCGAUGAUACAUAGCCGACCUGAGAGGGUGAUCGGCCACAUUGGAACUGAGACACGGCCCAAACUCCUACGGGAGGCAGCAGUAGGGAAUCUUCGGCAAUGGACGAAAGUCUGACCGAGCAACGCCGCGUGAGUGAAGAAGGUUUUCGGAUCGUAAAACUCUGUUGGUAGAGAAGAACGUUGGUGAGAGUGGAAAGCUCAUCAAGUGACGGUAACUACCCAGAAAGGGACGGCUAACUACGUG